CACCGCCCGUCACAUCAUGGAAGUCUGCUGCACCAGAAGUAGGUAGUCUAACCGCAAGGGGGGCGCCUACCACGGUGUGGCCGAUGACUGGGGUG
rnacentral:rRNA from 1 species